CUCUCGCGCAUAUGCAGUCGGACGUUCUCUCGUACAACUGCUGCUGCUGCUGCCGCUUUUAAAAUAUGACAUGUCUGGUGCGGUGAGAUUUAAGCUCGUCGCGAUCAGUUGUGACUUGAUGUGAUCUCCGAUACGGCUAUAAUUUAUACUGUGCGGUGAAGUGCGAUGAUGUCUCGUGGACUGAAUCGAGAGUCCGACGAUGCCGGACGUCGCCGGCGCGAUAGAGAGAAGAGCGAGCUUUUACGCUGUAUGUGUGUUUAAUCGAGUACAUUACGGAUAGUGAGGAGUUCGAGUGCUUAAUCAUGGAUCAACUGCAGGGCAGCAGGAUGCAACUGCUCCAGGACUUUAACAACGACUUUCGCAACGACUCGUUCUACAGCCACGACUUCAGGGACAAUAUGAGCAUGGCGGUGCCGACGAUGCCGCCGAGCAUGACCUUCACCCGUCGAACACUGACGAUCAUCAUCGUCUACUGCAUCUGCUUCCUCGUCGCGGCGAUCGGCAAUCUGACCGUCUUCCUGACCCUCUGGAGAGGCAGGUAUCGCAAGUCCCGUAUUUCGCUGAUGAUCUGUCACCUGUCCAUCGCCGAUCUACUCGUCGCCUUCUUCACUAUACCCAUCGAGAUUGGAUGGCGACUGACUGUGCAGUGGAUCGCGGGGAACUACGCUUGCAAGCUCUUCCUCUUUCUGAGAGCCUUCGGCCUUUACCUCUCUAAUAACAUUCUCAUCUGCGUCUCUUUGGACAGGUACUUCGCGGUCCUCUAUCCGCUGCGGGUGAACGACGCUCGGAGGCGUGGCAAAUUCAUGCUGAGCGUCGCCUGGUUCUUCAGCGUCCUCUACGCCAUCCCGCAGUCCAUUGUGUUCCACGUGGAAAACCACCCGCAUCACAAGAAUUUCACGCAGUGCGUCACUUUUGGCGCCUUUCCCUCGGACCUGGUCGAGAAUACGUACAACGUCUUCUGCGUACUCACUAUGUACUUCAUACCGCUGGCCAUCAUAUGCUGGGUUUAUCUGAAGAUUCUCUGCGAGAUCAGCAGCAAAUCCAGGGACAACAAACCAGUUGUAAUAAAAGCCGGCAGCAACGGAACCCUCGAGAGUUCAAACAGCAACCAAGGAAGCCGAAUGCGUUUACGCCGCUCAGAUAUGUCGAGCAUCGAAAGAGCGCGAAGUCGAACACUGAAGAUGACCAUUAUAAUAGUGGUGGCCUUCAUUUUUUGCUGGACGCCCUACAUCACCAUGAAUUUAUGGUACGUGAUCGACAAAAAGAGCGCAAAAGAGGUGAACGAGAUGGUGCAGGAGUCGCUGUUCAUAAUGGCAGUCGGCAAUUCCUGCGCCAAUCCAUUAGUUUACGGAAGCUAUGCGAUCGAUUUGAAAAAAGAGUGCUUUCGCUGCUUCCUACCUUGCACCACGACCAAGAGCAAUGCCGAUGUCAAUCUAAUACAGCGCAGCCUAGGUAAUUUCAAAUCAACUUCCACCAAGAAGUCAUCUGUUCAAAAUUCCAGAAACCAGAAAUGAAGUCCCCGGGCGUCAGCAAACAAAUAGUUCAUAGUGUUUGUCAAGCCGUGCACGGUUUCUUCAAAGCGGGAAGCGGCCAGACGAAAAGCACAAAUGUCUGCGGUAAAGUAUUGGUGCCAAUCAGCCCAAGACUGUCCGUCUCGACGACGUCGAAGGGGGUCGUCGUCGAGAAGCUGCCGCUGCAUACGAUUAAGCCGAUUGAGUUCAAAGAGAACUUGAUCAAGUCGCCGAGCUGCAGCCAACCGCCGUUACUGCAGCUCAACUCGUCGAUGAACUUUUCCGGGAUAAUGGAGCAUCAGACUGCGUGAGCUGCUGAACCAUGCUGAAUUUGAGGGAAUGAAGUUUUUAUUCCUCGAAACGAUUACUGCGAGAGCGGAUACCUUGCUGCUGCUCUCUCUCUCUCUCUCUCUCUCUCUCUCUCUCUCUCUCUCUCUCUCUCUGUACACAGAAAUUCUGUGCUCGAAUUGUUUUGUAUCGCGUCGUUGCGUUGUAUAGGAUAAGGAGAAGAAUUAAUUCAAACGAAUAAUAAUAAACGAGAGCAUGUGUGCCAUGCA